GAUGGGUCUGCGGGUUGCAAUCUGAUGCGAAGACCGGUGUUUAUGCAUGUUGCAGGGUCCUAACAAGGAGGAAGCUGAUGGUCUGACACAGGUCCCAAGAAGCAUUUUCACCAACCUCACACGUCCAGGGAUGUGUUGUUAAUGGCUCCCAACCCAUCACUCGUUUACUGGUUCUAUAGGCUUCGACCAUAUCAUUUUUGGGGCUUCAUCUUUCCACCCUAAAGCUCUUACAGGACAAAGCAGCCUAGCUUCUCAGGAAAGUCUUCUACCUGGAGAGAGAGAGAGAGAGAGAGAGAGGGA